CGACCAAAGUGGUUAUUUCGUUUAUCCAUACUGGAAGUUUGCAUUUUGCGGAGAAUGUGAGAUUCUCUAAAUUAUAUCUGUGAUUUCCUGUGAUUUGCCGUGAUUCUCUGUGAUUGACAAUGCAGGAUAUUACACCGACAGGACAUAAUUUCAUGGAGCUCGUGAAGAGUCGGCAAUGCAGCCAAAAGAUACUCGAUCUAUUCCUAGAUCGCAAUUAAGGUAUUGCUUUUGAUGGAUUUAUCAGCUGAACUUCUAUUUACUGUUCAUUUUCAAAGAACGAAGUCGAUGAUGAAUCAUUUCAUCUUUUAAGCGACGAAGACAUUCGCAAUAUGCUUAAACUUGCAGAGCCAAGAAGUAAAUUCAUGAAAAAUUAUAAUGAAUUUCUUCAAUAGAUUAAAUAAGGGAAAACGGAACAAGCUUCUAACACUCCAUCUGUCAUUCAAAAUAUAAGCGAAUCAAACUUGUUCGAAUCAGCGCAUGCUUCUACUUUUAGCCAUGUGAACAUUGAAGCGGUUGAAUCAAAUCAGUGGCUUCAUACACGAGUUUCUGCUGAGAACGGGGAAUUGGUUUUGGAGACAAUUGAUCAGGACGCUGAUGCUCCCACUGAAAUUGAUUUAGAACCCGAGGAUGAAUCUCACGAGCCCCCUCCGGCAGAGACCGAAUAUUGAUGGUCUUAGACC